CUGCAACAUACAGCGGUGGCCAGAGUGGUCAAAUUAUGUACCGUGGCAGAAGACACGAACGAUCCUCCAAUUCCUCCGGAGGUGGCUGAACUCUUGGAACAGUAUGCCGCACUGUUCGAGGAACCCAAAGGUCUGCCACCACAACGCUCGUUUGACCAUUCCAUUCCCUUGGUGCCAGGAGCUCGACCAGUCAACAUACGACCCUAUCGGCACAGCCCGGCCCAGAAAGAUGAGGUGGAAUGGCAAGUCACUGAGAUGCUAGCUCAAGGAAUAAUUCAGCCAAGCUCCAGCCCUUUUGCGUCACCGGUCCUAUUGGUUCAGAAGAAGGACUUGACUUGGCGAUUCUGCAUUGAUUACCGGCAUCUCAACGCAAUCACAAUCAAGAAUAGGUUUCCCUUACCAGUGAUUGAGGAACUUCUCGAUGAGCUGGCAGGGUCGUGCUGGUUCACUACCCUCGACUUGCGCUCUGGCUAUCAUCAGAUUCGCAUGAAACCAGAAGAUGCCCACAAAACAUCCUUCAAAACACAUCAUGGUCAUUUCGAGUUCAAGGUGCUGUCAUACGGCUUGACGGGAGGGCCAGCUACUUUUCAGGGCGGGAUG
rnacentral:rRNA from 1 species